UACGUAGGGCGCAAGCGUUGUCCGGAAUUAUUGGGCGUAAAGAGCUCGUAGGCGGUCUGUCGCGUCUGCUGUGAAAACUCAGGGCUUAACCCUGAGCUUGCAGUGGGUACGGGCAGACUAGAGUGCGGUAGGGGAGACUGGAAUUCCUGGUGUAGCGGUGAAAUGCGCAGAUAUCAGGAGGAACACCGGUGGCGAAGGCGGUUCUCUGGGCAUUACCUGACGGCUGAGGAGCGAAAGUGUGGGGAGCGAACAGGA
rnacentral:rRNA from 1 species